ensembl:misc_RNA
CUUUCACUUCCGCAGGGCUCAGCAUCCCCGGGGCCUCAACCCCUUAUCCAUCCUUGGCGCUCCUCGCAGUAAGCCCUCUCCUCAGGGCCCCGGCCCUCUACCUCCAGGCCCU